rnacentral:rRNA from 1 species
UUGUGUCUUCGAGUCGUUGAUUUCACACUGCCGAGAAAAGCCUCUAGAUAGAAAAUAGGUGCCCGUACCGCAAACCGACACAGGUAGUCAAGAUGAGAAUUCUAAGGUGAGCGAGCGAACUCUCGUUAAGGAACUCGGCAAAAUGACCCCGUAACUUCGGGAGAAGGGGUGCUCUUUAGGGUUAACGCCCAGAAGAGCCGCAGUGAAUAGGCCCAAGCGACUGUUUAUCAAAAACACAGGUCUCUGCUAAACCGUAAGGUGAUGUAUAGGGGCUGACGCCUGCCCGGUGCUGGAAGGUUAAGAGGAGUGGUUAGCUUCUGCGAAGCUACGAAUCGAAGCCCCAGUAAACGGCGGCCGUAACUAUAACGGUCCUAAGGUAGCGAAAUUCCUUGUCGGGUAAGUUCCGACCCGCACGAAAGGCGUAACGAUUUGGGCACUGUCUCAACGAGAGACUCGGUGAAAUCAUAGUACCUGUGAAGAUGCAGGUUACCCGCGACAGGACGGAAAGACCCCGUGGAGCUUUACUGUAGCCUGAUAUUGAAAUUCGGCACAGCUUGUACAGGAUAGGUAGGAGCCUUUGAAACGU